rnacentral:rRNA from 1 species
UGCGCAGGCGGACCUAUUAGUCAGUGGUGAAAUCCCGGGGCUCAACUCCGGAACUGCCAUUGAUACUGUAGGUCUUGAGUUUGGUUGAAGUGGGCGGAAUGUAGCAUGUAGCGGUGAAAUGCAUAGAUAUGCUACAGAACACCGAUCGCGAAGGCAGCUCACUAAACCAAAACUGACACUCAGGCACGAAAGCGUGGGUAGCGAACAGGAUUAGAUACCCUGGUAGUCC